rnacentral:rRNA from 1 species
CUGGAAUGGCUUAUGGUCUAAACAGUUUACUGCCAUGGGAUGGGACUGCGGCCUAUCAGCUUGUUGGUGAGGUAAUGGCCCACCAAGGCUAUAACAGGUACGGGCUCUGAGAGGAGAAGCCCGGAGAUGGGUACUGAGACACGGACCCAGGCCCUAUGGGGCGCAGCAGGCGAGAAACCUUAGCAAUGUGCGAAAGCACGACUGGGUCAGUCCGAGUGAUUCCUGAUAAAGGAGUCUUUUAUCUGUCCUAAAAGCACAGGUGAAUAAGGGGUGGGCAAGUCUGGUGUCAGCCGCCGCGGUAAUACCAGCACCUCGAGUGGUCAGGACGUUUAUUGGGCCUAAAGCAUCCGUAGCCGGCUUUGCAAGUCUUCGGUUAAAUCCACCUGCUCAACAGAUGGGCUGCUGGAGAUACUACAAAGCUAGGGAGUGGGAGAGGCAGACGGUAUUCAGUGGGUAGGGGUAAAAUCCUCUGAUCCAUCGAGGACCACCAGUGGCGAAGGCGGUCUGCCAGAACACGUUCGACGGUGAGGGAUGAAAGCUGGGGGAGCAAACCGGAUUAGAUACCCGGGUAGUCCCAGCUGUAAACGAUGCAAACUCGGUGAUGCAUUGGCUUAUGGCCAAUGCAGUGCCGCAGGGAAGCCGUUAAGUUUGCCGCCUGGGAAGUACGGACGCAAGUCUGAAACUUAAAGGAAUUGGCGGGGGAGCACCACAAGGGGUGAAGCCUGCGGUUCAAUUGGACUCAACGCCGGU